GUGGGAGGGGGCUUGCCCCCGAUAGCAGUGGGCCAGUCAGAGAAGUUGUGACUGACACACCGUCAUCGGGGGCAAGCCCCCUCCCAC
rnacentral:misc_RNA from 1 species